rnacentral:rRNA from 1 species
CAUGGAAGUAAGAAUGUUGGUAUUAGUAACCGCAAUGCGGGUGAGAUCCCCGCACACCGAAAGUCUAAGGUUUCCUGGGCAAUGUUGAUCAACCCAGGGUCAGUCGGUCCUAAGGCGAGGUCGAAAGACGUAGUCGAUGGACACAAGGUUAAUAUUCCUUGACUAUUCAAUGUCACGGUAUGGGAGGACGCAAUCUAGUAUAUUUCGCAUCUUAUUGGAUUGAUGUAGACGCAGUGAGGGUGCUUUCCAGGUAAAUCCGGAAGGUAUAGCCCAAGCUGCGGCUGGAGGUUUCUCUUCGGAGAGGCCAACGGAAUAAAGCAGGUUGUCUAGAAAAUUCUCUAAACUUAUCAUUGAAUAUCCGUACUAAAACCGACACAGGUAGACUGGGCGAGUAGCCUAAGGUGAACGAGUGAUCCUCCGUUAAGGAACUCGGCAAAAAAGCUAGACGUAAGUUCGCAACAUGUCUCGCCACCCUGUCAAAGGGGUGGCCGCAGCGAAAGUUUUUCAAGCAACUGUUUACCAAAAACACAGGUCUCUGCAAACCCGUAAGGGGAAGUAUAGGGGCUGACGCCUGACCAGUGCUGGAACGUUAACGGGAGCGGUGCAAGCCAAUCCCCGAAGCGCCAGUGAACGUCGGCGAUAACUAUAAUCGUCCUAAGGUAGCGAAAUUCCUUGUCAGGUAAGUUCUGACCCGCAUCAAUGGCGUAAUGACUUGAAAACUGUCUCAACGGAGAGCUCGGUGAAAUUGCAAUGACGGUAAAGAUGCCGUCGACCUGCAGCAAGACGAAAAGACCCCGUGGAGCUUUACUACAACUUGGCAUUGAUUUAGAGUUUUGGUUGUCGAGCUUAGGUGGGAGACUAUGAAGUCCCGACGCUAGUCGGAAUGGAGUCAACAGUGGAAUACCACCCUGCUGAAGUUUUAAAUCUAACCCUGGGCUGUUAUGAGGAACAAAAAACUUAUAUACAGUGAACCAGCAAAUGGCAAACUAAGCAUAAGUUGUAAAGAAAGAUCCUAUCAUUCGUAAGAGUGGUCGGAUAUUAUUAGUAUUGUCUUUUGCGGUUCACAUAAAAAUGUAUGUAUCGUUUUUAGUUAUUCAUACCAGUCCGGGAACAGUGCCUGGCGGGUAGUUUGACUGGGGCGGUCGCCUCCUAAAUUGCAACGGAGGCGUUUACAAAGGUUGGUUAGGUCCGGAUGGAAAUCGGACUGAUAGUGCAAAAGCAUAAACCAGCUUUACUGAGAGACCCAUCAGUCGAUCAGUUACGAAAGUAGAAUUUAGUGAACCGACUAUCGCUUAUAGGAGCGUAGAAGAUCAUCAGAUAAAAGUUACCCCGGGGAUAACAGGCUGAUCCCUUCCAAGAGUCCAUAUCGACGAAGGGGUUUGGCACCUCGAUGUCGGCUCAUCGCAUCCUGGGGGUGGAGAAGCUCCCAAGGGUUCGGCUGUUCGCCGAUUAAAGCGGUACGUGAGCUGGGUUUAAACCGUCGUGAGACAGGUUGGUCCCUAUCUUCUGUGGGCGUACGAAACUUGAGGGAGUUUCUCUUUAGUACGAGAGGAUUUGGAGGGACGGACCUCUGGUGUUCCUGUUGUCACGCUAGUGGCAGCGCAGGGUAGCUAUGUCCGGUCAGGAUAAGCGCUGAAAGCAUAUAAGCGCGAAGCCCUUCCCAAGAUCAGGUUUCGUUGGGCGUAAGCCCUGAAGUCCCCUGGCAGACGACCAGGUUGAUAGGCCGGCGAUGUACGACCAGCAAUGGUCUCAGUUGACCGGUACUAACGGACGAAAGCUUGACCAC